AGAGUUGCAAGAAUUCCAACGUCCAGAAUGUGGUUGGAUAUUUCAAAUCUUCCCCAGAAGCAGAAGUGACUUUCGGAUUGGCCGACAGCAGCUUUACCAAAAUAUAUAAAGCUGGGAGUUUUGGUCUAAGCAACACUCCCUGAAGCUAAACUAUCAGGACGAGAGAGACAGUGAGCAGGACUGUCAUCACCUGGCUACUGGGAGCGCCCCCGUCUGUACUGUGUUAAAGCAUGUAAAUGUGUGAUAACUCCCCCCCACACACUUGGACAGAAAGAGGAAGAAGCUUUGAAUUGGCUGUGUCUCUUCUCUCCAGUGACUCUGAGUUCCCAGCCAACCUUCAGCCAUGAAGAUAUUUUACUUGCUCUUUGCUGUUGUCUUCUUGGUGCUCAUGGAUGCACCAGGAUUCUCCCAGGCCUUGGUGACCUCGAGGGGAUGUAAACGCCGUGGGGGUUCCUGCCACUUUUGGCAAUGUGACACCACUUCUACAUACUUUGACAAAUGCAUUCCAAUUGGCCAUUGCUGUAUAAAGCAAUAGUUUGACUGAUUGUCUCUGGGAAUUUGGCAGACAGCCACUUGCUUCUAAAAUCAUCAGAUCCUGCCUCAAUGGAACCUUGAAGUGCUGUCCAGAUCAUCAAGGAAAACCCUUGUGAGCUGGAGAAAUUCCAGAAGGGAGCCUUUGCAUCACCCAUAUAAGAUUUGUCACUCUCCUUUUAAUAAAAGCAAGUUGGUGUGAGA